AAAAACCAGUUCCCGUACAAUCACCGAAGUUAAUCAACGUUAAGCCUGGAGAGUACCUCGAUGGGUGAUCGCUUGGGAAUACCAGGUACUGUAAG